AUGGAACAAGAUCAGGUUAAAUUAGCAGCACUAAUUGCGGAGCUAGAGGAGCCAGUAGGUCUCUGUGACUUGCCAGGAAUUGACCCUCCUAAUACUAAGAGAAAGAAGGGGAGGGAAAUAAAGAAUUUUUCUGAGUGGAUAGAGAAAGAGCCUCAUGUGAAUUGGUCUUUGCUGCAUGAUAUCCAUGGAGCUAGGUAUGGCCACAUGACAACCAAUCUUGCAGAGGUGUAUAACUUUCUACUCAGAGGGAAUAGAGCAUUGCAACUCACAGCUAUUGGAGGCCGUAUUCCAUGGCACUUUGAGAUAUUCCAGAGAAAGGCACGAGUUAGCAAGGAAGCAUAUUGCAGAUAA
rnacentral:rRNA from 1 species